rnacentral:lncRNA from 1 species
AUUCAGCGUGGGGGUUCCUGGCAGGUUAAACCCAGCACUGAAGGCAGGGGCAGUGUUUCCAUGGUGCCAGGGUAUCGCACCGACCCUGUCCCAUUAGCACAACUCACAGUUGCUCUAUCCAGUUGCCUGGAGACACAAUGUGCUCUAUUUAAGGGGUGAGCCAGGGACAGAGUGAUUCCAAUCAGGAAUGACCGGCUCUGGGGGCCUCGGGCCCUGAGUGCCCGGAAGGCUGAAGACAGAGGGGAUGGUGCAACUGAGGCGAGCAGAGGAAUCGGAAGAACACGGAUGGGCAAGGAGGACUUGACCUUCUCUGACCCUCGGAUUCUGCUGAUGGCCGAUGCAGACCUGCUGAUAUUUCUGCUGAGUUCCCACUCUUGUCUGAAGUCAGCAGCCAAGGGAGUGCUAAAGGCAUUCAGGUCAGAUUCAGUGAGAAAGAAGCAAGGAGUGUGAUAUUAAGGGACAUUCAUCCACAUGGAAGGAAACAUCCAGAGUGGACAAUAUGUGUCCCUCCAACAAGGAGCCUGAUGGAAAUUUGAAAAUAAAACAUGGCAACCUAAUUGAUCUUCAGGAAGAUGCAUUGUGUCUCUGGUGUGCAAUCAGCUUCAAGGAUCCGGAUGUUAUCUCAGGAUGAAAUAAAAAUACCUUUCAAAGGAAGGAGGUCCAGUUUGAAGUCAAGUCUACAUCCGACUUCUGACCAACCUCAUGUCAGCUCUGCUGCCCUGGGCAGGUAUCCUAGCCUCUCUGAG